UUAAGUUGGGCACUCUAAGGAGACAAACCCUCUUUGAGGGUGGGAAGGUGGGGGAUGACGUCAAGUCAGGAUGGCCCUUACGGCUAGGGCUGCACACGUACUACAAUGCCCGGUACAGAGGGACGCAAUACCGCGAGGUGGAGCAAAUCCUAAAAACCGGGCCCAGUUCGGAUUGUAGUCUGCAACUCGACUACAUGAAGUUGGAAUCGCUAGUAAUGGCGCAUCAGCUACGGCGCCGUGAAUACGUUCCCGGGCCUUGUACACACCGCCCGUCACGUCAUGAAAGCCGGUUUCGCCCGAAGUGCAUUUGCCAACCAGUAAUGGAGGCGGUGCCCUAAGGUGAGGCUGGUGAUUGGGACGAAGUCGUAACAAGGUAACCGUAGGGGAACCUGCGGUU
rnacentral:rRNA from 1 species